AUUGAACGCUGGCGGCAGGCCUAACACAUGCAAGUCGAACGGCAGCACAGAAGAGCUUGCUCUUUGGGUGGCGAGUGGCGGACGGGUGAGUAAUGUCUGGGAAACUGCCCGAUGGAGGGGGAUAACUACUGGAAACGGUAGCUAAUACCGCAUAACGUCGCGAGACCAAAGUGGGGGACCUUCGGGCCUCACACCAUCGGAUGUGCCCAGAUGGGAUUAGCUAGUAGGUGGGGUAAUGGCUCACCUAGGCGACGAUCCCUAGCUGGUCUGAGAGGAUGACCAGCCACACUGGAACUGAGACACGGUCCAGACUCCUACGGGAGGCAGCAGUGGGGAAUAUUGCACAAUGGGCGCAAGCCUGAUGCAGCCAUGCCGCGUGUAUGAAGAAGGCCUUCGGGUUGUAAAGUACUUUCAGCGGGGAGGAAGGCGGUGAGGUUAAUAACCUCGCCGAUUGACGUUACUCGCAGAAGAAGCACCGGCUAACUCCGUGCCAGCCGCCGCAGUAA
rnacentral:rRNA from 1 species